GCCGGUUUGGCUCAGUGGAUAGAGCGUCAGCCUAUGGACUGAAGGACCCCGGGUUCGAUUCCCGGUCAGGGCA
rnacentral:tRNA from 1 species